GUGCUUGCUUCAGCAGCACAUAUGGAACUAUACAGAGAAGACUAGCAUGGCUCCUGGACAAGGAUGGCAUGCAAAUUCAUGAAGCGUUCUGUAUUUUU
rnacentral:snRNA from 1 species